rnacentral:rRNA from 1 species
AACGUAGGAGACAAACGUUAUCCGGAGUUACUGGGCGUAAAGGGCGUGUAGGUGGUAAUGUAAGUCUGGCGUGAAAUUUUUCGGCUUAACCGGGAAAGGUCGUCGGAGACUGCAUAACUAGAGGACGGUAGAGGCGAGUGGAAUUCCUGGUGUAGCGGUGAAAUGCGCAGAUAUCAGGAGGAACACCAUGGCGAAGGCAGCUCGCUGGAACGGUACUGACGCUGAGGCGCGAAAGCGUGGGGAGCGAACAGG